GAUGAAGAACGUAGCGAAAUGCGAUAAGUAAUGCGAAUUGCAGAAUUUCCGUGAGUCAUCGAAUCCUUGAACGCACAUUGCGCCCACUGGUAUUCCGGUGGGCAUGCCUGUUCGAGCGUCAUUAUCCUCCCUCAAACCCCGGGUUUGGUGUUGGACCCAAGUUGUGUGAACAACUGGUCUCAAAGACAAUGACGGCGUCCGUGGGACCCUCGGUGCAACGAGCUUUUAGGAGCACGCAUCGAGUUGCAAGGACCUUCCGGGCCGGUCUCCUUUACCAUUUUACAAGGUUGACCUCGGAUCAGGUAGGAAUACCCGCUGAACUUAAGCAUAUCAAUAAGCGGAGGA
rnacentral:misc_RNA from 1 species